AAAUAUUCAUUUAAAGUAUUUUUAUAGGUAAUUGAUGCUAAAGGUUGUGAGAAAUCAGAAGAUUGUGAGGAGACACAAUGUUGUGUGAUGAUAACCUUUGGAAAAGGUCUUUGCAUGGAUAGACCAAAAGACGGUGAUAAAUGCAUUGGUAUUGCAGCCAAAGUAAAAAAUAAAGAUGCUUACAGAUUUGGAUGUCCAUGUGUAGAAGGUUUUACAUGCAAAUCGGAAGGAAUGAUAGUUAAGAAACACAAAUGUGAAGCUGAAGCAUAGUCUAAGAUCAAUUUUAAGUCAACUUAAACAUAUUUGUAAUGCUUAAUGAAUAAAUUUUACAAAUACUUUAUUAAA